rnacentral:rRNA from 1 species
CCUACGGGUGGCAGCAGUGAGGAAUAUUGGUCAAUGGACGAGAGUCUGAACCAGCCAAGCCGCGUGAAGGAAGAAUGCCCUCUGGGUUGUAAACUCUUUUUGUCUGGGGAUAAAAUGCGGUUUGUAUACUGUCUUGCAUGUACCUUAUGAAAAAGGAUCGGCUAACUCCGUGCCAGCAGCCGCGGUAAUACGGAGGAUGCGAGCGGUAUCCGGAUUUGUUGGGCUUAACGGGAGCCUAGGGGGGUGGUUAAGUCAAGUGUGAAAGUACGUGGCUCAACCGGAGCAUUGCAGUUGAUACUGGCAGGCUUGAGUACAGGAGAGGAAGGCGGAAUGCGUGGUGUAGCGGUGAAAUGCUUAGAUAUCGCGAGGAACUCCGAUUGCGAAGGCAGCCUGCUGGACGGUAACUGACGCUGAGGCACGAAAGCGUGGGUAGCAAACAGGAUUAGAUACCCGUGUAGUC